rnacentral:rRNA from 1 species
UACGGAGGGUGCAAGCGUUAUCCGGAUUCACUGGGUUUAAAGGGUGCGUAGGCGGGUUGGUAAGUCCGUGGUGAAAUCCCCAAGCUUAACUUGGGAACUGCCAUUGAUACUAUAGCUCUUGAAUACUGUGGAGGUCAGCGGAAUAUGUCAUGUAGCGGUGAAAUGCUUAGAUAUGACAUAGAACACCAAUUGCGAAGGCAGCUGGCUACACAAAUAUUGACACUGAGGCAUGAAAGCGUGGGGAUCAAACAGG